rnacentral:piRNA from 1 species
AGCACAUGAUGAUUCCAGCGUGCGUCUGAA